rnacentral:misc_RNA from 2 species
AACGCACCUUGCGCUCCUUGGUAUUCCGAGGAGCAUGCCUGUUUGAGUGUCAUUAAUAUAUCAACCUCCUCAGGUUUUUACUUGUCGAGUGUUUGGAUGUGGGGGUCUCUUUUGCUGGUCUCUUUUGAGUUCAGCUCCCCUGAAAUGCAUUAGCGGGAACAAUUUGUUGACUCGUUCAUUGGUGUGAUAACUAUCUACGCUAUUGACGUGAAAUCAGCUUCCGCUUCUAACAGUCCAUUGACUUGGACAAAAUUUCAUUAAUGUGACCUCAAAUCAGGUAGGACUACCCGCUGAACUUAA